AACUUAGGCUUUUAUAAUUUGAUCUCCGCGACUCCCUGGCCUUCAUCCUUUCAUUCUAGCGACAACUAGCUACCCAGUUUGGGUCAAUGGAAGUAAACACGUCAAGAGCAUUCUUUGUAACUUCUAUGUCUCCUACUUUUCACAUCAGCGUUAUAAAGAAGUGAUGCCUGCAUCUGUGACAGCCAUCAUGAGAUAAUGAAGCAACAAACUGAAGGCUAAAAGAAAGCCAGCCUGCCAGAACAGUGGGAUUGAAGGACUGAGAGCCUGGGUAUCUCUGGGGCUCCUAUUCAAGCUCUAUGGAACCACAAAUGAGCUUCUUUAAACAUUUUGCUAAUAAGUAAUGUGUUUCUACGGACAUGUUUCCCUGUCACCCCAACAAAAUAAAUUAUAAUUGACUUGUUCAU
rnacentral:lncRNA from 1 species